GACGAACGCUGGCGGCGUGCCUAAUACAUGCAAGUAGAACGCUGAAGGAGGAGCUUGCUUCUCUGGAUGAGUUGCGAACGGGUGAGUAACGCGUAGGUAACCUGCCUGGUAGCGGGGGAUAACUAUUGGAAACGAUAGCUAAUACCGCAUAAUAUUGACUAUUGCAUGAUAGUCAGUUGAAAGGUGCAACUGCACCACUACCAGAUGGACCUGCGUUGUAUUAGCUAGUUGGUGGGGUAACGGCUCACCAAGGCGACGAUACAUAGCCGACCUGAGAGGGUGGUCGGCCACACUGGGACUGGGACACGGCCCAGACUCCUACGGGAGGCAGCAGUAGGGAAUCCUCGGCAAUGGACGGAAGUCUGACCGAGCAACGCCGCGUGAGUGAAGAAGGUUCUCGGAUCGUAAAGCUCUGUUGUAAGAGAAGAACGAGUGUGAGAGUGGAAAGCUCACACUGUGACGGUAUCUUACCAGAAAGGGACGGCUAACUACGUG
rnacentral:rRNA from 1 species